AGAGGGCAAACAGAACCCUCUCGAUCCCUAGUUCAGUCUCCAGAACCCUCGAUCCCCAAUUCAGUCUCCUGCCACUCCACCGCCGCCGCCACCAUCGCCCUGUCCAACGCCACCAUCGUCCGGUCCACCGUCGCCGCCUCCAUCGUCCGGUCCACCGCCGCAGCCGCCGCCACACCAUCCUCCGGUCCACCGCGGCCGCUGCCUCCCCUUCCCGCGGAAGGCCGUUCUUCCGCCCGCAUCUGCCUCACCACCGGCGUAGCGCCGGUCUCCACCUCGCCACCCGCCGGAGCACCAGCACCCGCCUCCCCACCGAGCUCCCGUACUAGUCCCCCCAUUCAACUUUACGCGUCUUCACCUCUGGCUGUCCGUACUCCUCUGCUCGCUGCAUCACAAGCCCUCUGUCUUCAUAUCUCUGAAACAUCAGCAAACAGCUAGGGGAGUUGGCUGCCACCCUUUUCGACGCCGUAAUUUCCCAGCUUGAACAAGUAUAUUGAACUUGUUUGAGCUGCAUGUUGAUGACGAGGAAGAUGACAGUGCCCGAAUCCAAAUUGAGCAAGAGGCUAACCGGAUUAUUGACACAUAUGCAAGGAAAAAGGUGAAAGACAUGUUGUACCAACUUCGUGUGGAUGCUGUGAAGCUUUACUAUGAGAAUCAAGGAGAGAAGCUUGAUGACUCGAUGGCUUGUGCAAGAGAACUCGAAUAUGAGCAAUACCUCCAGAGUAGGAUACCAUGGUGCAAGGAAGUUGCAUGGCCUGGAUGAUGUCGUUAUUG